rnacentral:rRNA from 1 species
AACGAACGCUGGCGGCAUGCCUAACACAUGCAAGUCGAACGAAGGCUUCGGCCUUAGUGGCGCACGGGUGCGUAACGCGUGGGAAUCUGCCCCUUGGUUCGGAAUAACAGUGAGAAAUUACUGCUAAUACCGGAUGACGACGAAAGUCCAAAGAUUUAUCGCCGAGGGAUGAGCCCGCGUAGGAUUAGCUAGUUGGUGGGGUAAAGGCCUACCAAGGCGACGAUCCUUAGCUGGUCUGAGAGGAUGAUCAGCCACACUGGGACUGAGACACGGCCCAGACUCCUACGGGAGGCAGCAGUGGGGAAUAUUGGACAAUGGGCGAAAGCCUGAUCCAGCAAUGCCGCGUGAGUGAUGAAGGCCUUAGGGUUGUAAAGCUCUUUUACCCGGGAUGAUAAUGACAGUACCGGGAGAAAAAGCCACGGCUAACUUCGUGCCAGCCGCCGCAGUAA